CAGACCCCUGCACUACCGAGAGUUCGGGUCUCCGCCGCUCUUCGCAGUAGCCGCCGCCGCCGCCGCAGCGUAAGAAGGCGAAGCGGCGUCCGGUGCCGAAGGGAGCUAUUUCGAAUAUCCCGCCCCAGCUGUAUUGGUUGAGCCUCCCAUCUCUACUCCGCUCUCAUUGGCUAAAUCAUACCAGGCCCGAAAACAAGAGUUGGAACCCGCCUCCCCGAGGAAGAGACAAUGGGAGAGGCAGGAGUCCGAGGUUAAGACAAUCGGGCAUUUACCUAGAUCGGGCAGCUGAAUACAAAGCCACAUUAUUGAUGAAAAUAAGGAGAGCGAAAUGACGGAGGAGCAAGCGGAGCAUCGCUGAAACAGCCACUGUAUUGAUUAAGGUUUUGCAGGACCAUGCCUAUCAAACAUAGCCCAAGAAUUGCAGCCAAGUUCUUUACCAUUCUCCUUGAGUGAAUUUAUUUGAGAUGACAAGAGUAGAAGAUGCCUUCUGGGAGAAAAGAAUUCUUUCAAUUUCCAACAUUAAGGCAAGCCAAUUAGAGAGCGUCUCCAAAUGUGGUAGUUAACUGAGAUUAUUCAAGCAUAUAGAGAAGACUCUCUGAAAUCAGAGAGAAAGUGAAUAAAGAUAUAUGACAAUAAAA